rnacentral:rRNA from 1 species
CCUACGGGAGGCAGCAGUGAGGAAUAUUGGUCAAUGGUCGAGAGUCUGAACCAGCCAAGUAGCGUGCAGGAUGACGGCCCUAUGGGUUGUAAACUUCUUUUAUACGGGAAUAAAACGAGUCACGUGUGCCGUUUUGUAUGUACCUUAUGAAUAAGGAUCGGCUAAUUCCGUGCCAGCAGCCGCGGUAAUACGGAGGGUCCGGGUGUUAUCCGGAUUUAUUGGGUUUAAAGGGAGCGUAGAUGGCUUGUUAAGUCCGUCGUGAAAUUUAGUGGCUCAACCGUAAAAUUGCAUUUGAUACUGGCAGGCUUGAGUACGUGGAAGGUAGGCGGAAUUCGUGGUGUAGCGGUGAAAUGCUUAGAUAUCACGAAGAACCCCGAUUGCGAAGGCAGCUUACUGAACUGUGACUGACGCUGAUGCUCGAAGGUGUGGGUAUCGAACAGGAUUAGAUACCCCAGUAGUC